rnacentral:lncRNA from 1 species
AAUCUUCGGUACAAGAAUAGUUUUUUUUUUUUUUUUUGAGAUAUAGAUAGUACGCUAUCUGUUUCGUUUAUUUCAUUUAGAAAUAAACUUAGCUGGAAAAUAAACUUAACUGAAAAUGUGAAUCAACUAGAAUUCGAAUUUGGAUCUCGAAUACCAACCACGAAGCCUUUUGCCACUUGCUCUAAAGACAGUCGGUUACAAAAAUAGGUAGUGUUUUAGUUUUGAGGGUAUCUUG